AAUCAACGCUGGCGGCGUGCCUCAGACAUGCAAGUCGAACGCGAAAGUCCCCUUCGGGGGACGAAGUAGAGUGGCGCACGGGUGAGUAACACGUAGGUAAUCUACCUUCGGAUGGGGAGGUAACAACCGGAAACGGUUGCUAAUACCGCAUAAUGCAGCGGCACCUAAUGGUGACAAUUGUUAAAGCGGGGGAUCUAAGACCUCGCGUCUGAAGAGGAGCCUGCGGCGGAUUAGCUAG
rnacentral:rRNA from 1 species